UUCGCACCGUUUUGAUUGAAAAUUUUGCCUUGAAGCCCCUCUCUCUCGUCCUCUCGUCUCUCUCUCUCUCUCUCUCUCUCUCUCUCUCUCUCUCUCUUGUGUUUUGUAUUUCUCUGCACCCUACUCCCCACGAUUCACACUCCCUUAGGCUCACACGAACCCUCUCUUCAGUCUGGACUGGUACGUGCUGGAGGGGCAGAUCGUCAAGCACACCAUGCGGGAUCUGAUCCGGUCGGUCCGGGUCGUCGGGCACAAGGAUUUAAUGUGGAGACGGUGGAAUAUAAAAACAUCAGCUUCACUGUUUGGGAUGUUAGGGGUCAGGACAAGUUUGGCAAGGAGGUACUCGGUCAUGCUUCUAAGGUGGUGCUUACCAAGGAUACUACUAUGAGUGUUGGUGGUGGAAGUACACAGGAAGCAGUAAACAAUAGAGUUGCACAGAUUAAUUAGAAAUCUAAUUGAGGCUGCAGAGCAAGACUAUGAGAAGGAAAAAUUAAAUGAAAGGAUUGCGAUAUUGUCAGGUGGUGUUACUGUGAUACACGUAAAUUACCAAUUGCUGGUUGUAAAAGUGAUUUGUAUUUGUAAAUAAUAAUCUUGUGCUGAAGAAAUGUAUCAUAUUGUAUAUUCUAGUCCAUACUCAAGGAAAUAUAUAUUCUAGUCCAUAUGGUUAUUUCAUAACAUAUGUGUUUUGAUCUUGUAAUUUUAGUUGAUGAUUGUUUAGAUUUUGGGGUUGCUAGGUGGU